rnacentral:tRNA from 1 species
GGGGAUGUAGCUCAAUUGGUAGAGCACCUGCUUUGCAAGCAGGGGGUUACGGGUUCGAGUCCCGUCUUCUCCAC